rnacentral:lncRNA from 1 species
ACGUUCCAAUAUAAGUCAACACUUUUCUAUUGCACACGAUGUUAAUAAAAUAGAACUCUCUCAAUAAAACCUGUAAUGAGUAUCUAAUCUAGGGUAUAUUGUGUUAUGAAUUUAAGCUCAAAUAAGCAUUCGGAACAUUUGAUUAUCAUUCUGAAGAUAUAUAUCAACAAAAACAAGUAAAACAAUUAUAUACUUUUGUACGUAAAAAUAUAAAGAAACAAAUUUUCAAAAAUAAAAACAAUAAACAGUUCCAAAUACAAUAGGUCUAAAUUGAAUACAAAAUGAAUCUCUUAG